GCGACAGAGCAAGACUCUGUCUCAAAAAAAAUAAAUAAAUAAAUAAAUAAAUAAAUAAAAUAAAAAGAUACAAUUCCAGGUGCAAUGGGAGGAAAAACAGUAAAAUUGUCAGGGCCAUUAAGAAGCUUUCACAAGGUGAAGGGAGGGCUGGAGUUUCUCAAAACAUUGUUACUUAAAGUGUGGUAGUGGGCCAGCAGUAUGGGCAUCACCUAGGAGAUUGUUACUAAUAAAAAUGCAUAAUUUCAGGCCCUACUCUAGACCUACUGGACCCAAAUGUGCGUGUUAGUAAGAUCUCCAGGUGAUUCUUAGGCACAGGAAAGUUCUAGAAGCACUGGCCUGCAGUGGGAAGUACUGUGAGAAUUCAGGGUGGUGAUGCUUUUUCGCAUUUUACAUAAAAUUAUCUUGUUGAAUUUUCAUAAUCCAAUGAAGUAGGUGCUGUUAUUAUCCUUAUCUGACAAAGUACUUGAGACAAAGCAUCUUGCCUGGCUGGCACAAAUAGAGAUGGAGCCCAGUUUCCAAUCUCUUCUGACUGGAAGAAUGUCAGAGAGGGACAUUUAGUAUAAAGGAAUAACAGAUGGAAAGUUGCAGGUGGUAUUUGAAGUACCAAAAAUACCACAGUUCUGUAAUGUGAGUGUUUGUGAAGGUGAAUAGUGGGAAAUACAAUUUGAAGUGUAGGUGAAAGCCAGGUUAUUCAACUCAGACUCCACAGUCAUGGUGUUGACAUUUCUUCAUUUUUGAAUAUAGAGAUGGGAAACUGGUGCAUAUUUUUUUCUGUGAAUAACAUGAAAGCUAUGAAAAAGGCAAGUUUUCUGAAACUUUUACUAACUCGUUUUUGUUAUGUUUUGAGACGAGAUCUCAUUAGGUUGCCCAGGCUGAUCUUGAACUCCUGAGCCCAAGCAAUCCUCCCACCCCAGCCUCCCAAAGUGCUGGAAUUGCAGGCAUGAACUACUGCACCUGGCCAGAAACUUCUAAAACUCAGAAACGUUGCUCCUCCUCACCUCCUACCCCAAGAAAACAUUGUUGUUUGUAAUCACACUCUACAAACUUUACAAGAAGGGCUCAGCUAUUUUUCAGGCUUUGCUAGCCAACCCAGAAGGAAGUGUUCUCCUAAGUCAAGACAAUAAUAAUAUCUUCCUGUCCUUGGG